UACGUAGGGGGCAAGCGUUGUUCGGAAUUACUGGGCGUAAAGGGCGCGUAGGCGGUCUUGUAAGUCUUGUGUGAAAUCCCUCGGCUUAACUGAGGAACUGCACGGGAUACUGCGAGACUUGAGAUCGGGAGAGGGAAGCGGAAUUCCGGGUGUAGCGGUGAAAUGCGUAGAUAUCCGGAGGAACACCGGUGGCGAAGGCGGCUUCCUGGACCGACACUGACGCUGAGGCGCGAAAGCUAGGGGAGCAAACGGG
rnacentral:rRNA from 1 species